GGGCCCGUAGCUCAGCGGUUUAGAGCGCUCGCCUCACACGCGAGAGGUCACAGGUUCGAAUCCCGUCGGGCCCA
rnacentral:tRNA from 1 species